AACGAACGCUGGCGGCAUGCCUAACACAUGCAAGUCGAACGAGACCUUCGGGUCUAGUGGCGCACGGGUGCGUAACGCGUGGGAACCUGCCCUUAGGUUCGGAAUAACUCUCCGAAAGGGGUGCUAAUACCGGAUAAUGUCUUCGGACCAAAGAUUUAUCGCUUUUGGAUGGGCCCGCGUUGGAUUAGCUAGUUGGUAGGGUAAAAGCCUACCAAGGCGACGAUCCAUAGCUGGUCUGAGAGGAUGAUCAGCCACACUGGGACUGAGACACGGCCCAGACUCCUACGGGAGGCAGAAGUUGGGAAUAUUGGACAAUGGGCGAAAGACUGAUCCAGCAGUGCCGCAUGAGUGAUGAAGGCCUUAGGGUUGUAAAGCUCUUUUACCCGGGAUGAUAAUGACAGUACCGGGAGAAUAAGCUCCGGCUAACUCCGUG
rnacentral:rRNA from 1 species